UCUCCUCUCCUCUCCUCUCCUCUUUCUCUCUCCUCCUCCUCCUCUUUCUCUCUCCUCUCCUUCUCUUUCGCGUCGCCGUUUUCCUUCAAUCCUUCAUUUAUCUUUCUAGAUCUCCUCCUCCUUGCUAUUAUCACUCGAAAACUACCAACAAAUUCGAAGACAACAAGAUGCAACACGGAUUUUGAGGUUUUUCAAUCGAUUUUGAGGUAUCUUGAGUUAGAUCUUAAAGGGAAGAAUCAAGAAUUCAAGAUGCAAGAAUAUUGAGCUUAUUUUUUUUAUUUAUAUUGUAAUUUUUUUUAUAUGUUGUAAUUGAACUACUACUGUAUUGAUGUAUAUUGUAAAAUUGUUUUGAUUAUAUAUUGUAAAUUUUUGAUUAUGUUGAUUGAAAUUCGAUCUAUAUUUUGAUGUUCUAAAUAAUUUGAUUCGAUUUUUAAUUGUUUGAUGUUCUAAAAAAAA